rnacentral:rRNA from 1 species
UACGGAGGAUCCAAGCGUUAUCCGGAUUUAUUGGGUUUAAAGGGUGCGUAGGCGGUCGGGUAAGUCUGAUGUGAAAUCUCACAGCUUAACUGUGAAACUGCAUUGGAUACUAUCCGGCUAGAGGAAUGGAGGGGAGACUGGAAUACUUGGUGUAGCAGUGAAAUGCGUAGAUAUCAAGUGGAACACCAGUGGCGAAGGCGAGUCUCUGGACAUUUCCUGACGCUGAGGCACGAAAGCCAGGGGAGCAAACGGG